rnacentral:lncRNA from 1 species
GGAGUGCAGUGAUAUCUGUAGGGAUGGAGGGAGCGAUACAGUCAUUGAAGUUUAUCCAUCGAAAGUGCAAACUUUCUUCUCUUAAGGCUCACACAGCUCUCUUGUUCUCACUCAUUGUCAUAUGACAGAAAACACUGAAAAAACGCGGUCUUCCUGCUGAAAGGAAGGCGGAGCGACGCUCAAAGAGAGUCGCCCCGCCUUUCGGACGUCCGUGUGUUAUAUAUUGAGCAGGCGAGGGUGAAAGCGAUAGGGGCAACGCGUUGCUUGCCCUUGGGUCGCUUUUGGUAGGUUUUAUCGCUGGAUGACGCCGUACCAGCAAAUUCUUCCAAUGAACGAAUGAAGGCAACAAUUUCUUUUUUCUCAAUAUCUCUUGAUUAUGAAUGAGGAAAGAAGCCCUGUGAAAGAAGCCUUUCCCCUUAAGAGGAGAAAGAGUCUGGAUUCUGGACGGCCAAGAUUAAGCAAUGACUGUAUCCAUCCCUCGAUCUCCACAGCAGCUGUUCACAGCAGUAAGGAUGACAGUCAAGAGAAAAAGAGGAAAGUGAAUUCAGAUGUGGUACCAUUGAUUUUGUCAGAAAUGCUGAAGAUUUGGUGCCACUUCCAAUCAUGGAACCUCAUGACGACAACGAAGCACAACAAAGCCUCCAGGAUCUGUACUUCUCCAGAAUCGGGAGAGGGGCAGGGAAGAUUGACAGACCCCUCUCACCCGGGCCACGGCUUUAUUGAACGUCUCCCAUUCAGCAGGCGCUUCAGAUCGCUGUGCCGAAACAACCAGAUACAAAAAAUGGUUUCUUUCCCCAUGCUGUUACGUCCAUGAAUAGCUGAUAUUAUUGCACAAAAAAAUCCCUCUCACUUAUUCCCUUCCUUGUCAUUUUUGAGCCCUCCUCAUUUAUUCCAUCCCAUGUUAUUUUCCAGUAGUGUCAAUGCACCUUUGCACAGGUUGUAUGUCUUGUUUACUCUCAGCUAUGAGCCGUUGUAAACUGAAACCCAAUUGCUUGUGUGUGUGUCCAUAUUGGCCCAAAUAAAUUGGAUUCUAAGUGCA